AGCGGUGCGGAGCUUACACAUGCAGUCGAGCGCGCCCUUCGGGGUGAGCGGCAGACGGGUGAGUAACGCGUGGGAACGUGCCCUUUGGUUCGGAAUAGCCCUUGGAAACGAGGAGUAAUGCCGAAUGUGCCCUUCGGGGGAAAGAUUUAUCGCCAAAGGAUCGGCCCGCGUUAGAUUAGCUAGUUGGUGAGGUAAUGGCUCACCAAGGCGACGAUCUAUAGCUGGUCUGAGAGGAUGAUCAGCCACACUGGGACUGAGACACGGCCCAGACUCCUACGGGAGGCAGCAGUGGGGAAUCUUGGACAAUGGGCGCAAGCCUGAUCCAGCCAUUCCGCGUGGAUGAUGAAGGCCCUAGGGUUGUAAAAUCCUUUCGGCAGGGAAGAUAAUGACGGUACCUGCUAAAGAAGCCCCGGCUAACUCCGUGCCAGCAGCCGCGGUAAUACGGAGGGGGCUAGCGUUGUUCGGAAUUACUGGGCGUAAAGCGCGCGUAGGCGGAUCGAUCAGUCAGAGGUGAAAUCCCGGAGCUCAACUUCGGAACUGCCUUUGAUACUGUCGAUCUGGAGUCCGGGAGAGGUGCAUGGAAUUCCGAGUGUAGAGGUGAAAUUCGUAG
rnacentral:rRNA from 1 species